rnacentral:rRNA from 1 species
GAUGAACGCUGGCGGCGUGCCUAAUACAUGCAAGUAGAACGCUGAAGGAAGGAGCUUGCUCUUUCCGGAUGAGUUGCGAACGGGUGAGUAACGCGUAGGUAACCUGCCUGGUAGCGGGGGAUAACUAUUGGAAAUGAUAGCUAAUACCGCAUAACAGUAGAUGUUGCAUGAUAUCUACUUAAAAGGUGCAAUUGCACCACUACCAGAUGGACCUGCGUUGUAUUAGCUAGUUGGUGAGGUAACGGCUCACCAAGGCGACGAUACAUAGCCGACCUGAGAGGGUGAUCGGCCACACUGGGACUGAGACACGGCCCAGACUCCUACGGGAGGCAGCAGUAGGGAAUCUUCGGCAAUGGACGGAAGUCUGACCGAGCAACGCCGCGUGAGUGAAGAAGGUUUUCGGAUCGUAAAGCUCUGUUGUAAGAGAAGAACGGGUGUGAGAGUGGAAAGUUCACACUGUGACGGUAUCUUACCAGAAAGGGACGGCUAACUACGUG